UGGCAGGUCCGGGAGGAGCUCCCCCACCGUGGAGGGCCUCGCAUCUCCUGGCCGUGAGCGGGGGGCCAUGGUGGUUUCAGAGAAAGGCAGGGCUCUGGGUGCUUAGGAGAGCAGGGAGGGGCUCCACGCUGGGAAGCAGAGGACCAGAGGAGCGCCUGGUGGAGGCGAGGCUGACCCUCGAGAGGAGCCUCGGGCCUCCGUCCUGACUGAGAGGGCAGCUAAUUUUUACUUCUUCCCUUCUUACUUUGCUGAAGUGUUUGCUUAUUUAAUCAAGGCAUUAUUGAGAUUUUGUUUUUGCCUUUGAUGUUGUAAUUCUAUGACAGAUAACUGGUAGAUAACUUCAUGAGAAAAUCAUUUUUUUUCCCGUCAGGGUUUCUGUGAGGGUAGUCUCCUUGAUGUGUUAUGGAUCUGCCUGACACAUGUCUUUCGGAUGACUGUGUGGAUCCUGGUCAGUGCUUGACAUGUUAUUGAUGGCCCUGAUAGCAUCACCCGCCUCGUCACCAGUCAUCAUCUUCAGUGCAAAAUCCAAGGGAGUGUGAAUCUCACUGCUGAGGGAUGCGACAUCCUUAUGUCAACUACUUUGCUAAAGAAGAUUUCUCGUUGGAAGACUUGCUUCAGCAAAGCUGCUAGAGUCAACAUUCUCUUUUCAAGAUUCUGCUAGCAGAAAUUUAC
ensembl:lncRNA